UAUGGGCCCGGUCAGCGACUGUGAAGAACCAUAUUUUAUUCCCUCUGGUUCGGCACUUUCCAUUCAUGCGCAUAGAACCGAACGCUAGCUCCCUGGCGGCCUUUCACAUGGACCAAAACUGCGAAUAGACUUCAGGGGGACUUGGCCACGAAUGCCCUGAAACUAUUUUUGGCAUGAAGACUUUGCGGUUCCCGGUCGGUCCUCAGCGGGCACUAAGUUCUAUGGAACCAUUUUCGGCAUGGGACCAUGCGUGCGGUCGGUCAAAUUAUGACUUCAAGGAAAUUUCUGAACCCCUGAACGCAUAUAUUGGUCACCCAGAUCCGGGGUAUCCGGUCAUGUAACUUUUGUGUUUUUUUUUUUCUUUCAAUAUCUGAUUUUUAUUGAAAUCUUUUAGAUAGAAUGAACGGCAAUGGGGUACAGAAAAGAAAAGGGGGAGGGGGAAACACAAGAUAUUUGCACAGCUCUGCAAGCUAUAUACCAAACCACAAGGUUCUUGCAACCCAAUACACACAGUGCAUGAGAUACCACAUUUCACAGUUGGUUGUCACUGGUGUUGUACCUGCCUAGAAUAAGAGCAUGUGUACCUAAAUCCUGGUGUGCAGUCAGUCCCUAGUCAGGAUGUUACACAUGGGAUUUUGUGUUUUAAAGGUACUUUUGGGGUGUUGUAAAAAUGUGUUGGUUUUUUUUUUGUGCCUGGCAAUAAUUGACUUUAAUACAGUGCUUGACUCUAUUUCCCAGGCACAGGGAAAAGAUUAUCUUGUUUUGUAUGGGAGUGUCCUGGACUUAAGAGCCAAUGUAAUCGUGUGUGUUUUUGCUGUAGUCUACAGGGGGGAAUGGACCUUGCAUGGGGACCUCCAUAUAAAGCCAGUUGUGGCUGCCAUUAAACAGAUUUUGUUUUGCCCUUCAUGAAGUCUAGGCUCGUGUUUGGGAGAUUGGAGAGCUAUAUUCACUCUGGGCAUUGCUAUAAUCACUAUACUCCCUUGGCUUACAACAAUUGCUCUUGUUUGCAGCCUGCUUUGCUAUCUGGACUAGGAGAGGUCUACCCAAUGGAAGCUUAAUCCUGGUCUAGGGGGGAGGGCAGCGAGACCCCAACCAAGCUGUGGUGGUUUGUGGGGUUAAGGGUGGUUAUGGUGUGCAGCGCUUAUGGUACUCAAGGAUUAC